AAUGCUAUAGACUUAAGUGAACACUCAGACCUACUAAAAUCAAUAGGGUUGGCUUCUAGCCCUAUUGCAGGACAUCAGUUUGCUAUUAUUUUAUUUAUUUUUUGAAAAUAAAAGCAGUGGCUCCUGGGGGAGUAAAUAGAAUGCUUUUUGAGGAGGAAUGCAGGAAAGAUUGAGAAUGUGAUUGGAAGAAAUAAAGAAGCAGUAAAACGAAAAAGGAGAAGCCUAAUAAACAACUGAGCAAAGAAAGAAAGGAAACCUUUGUUAAUAAAAGAGUAUUUGAAGGGAAUAAAUGCCAAAGAUAGGCCAACCUCAUAGAGCACGUAGAAAAUGGACUUUUUCCAGAAGAAGAAGCGAGGGUUUUGGAGAUGACUGGAACAUGUUUAUGCCAGUGUAUGUAGAUACUCAUUUUAUAGAACAUUAAAGUACACCUUAAAUCCUUAAACACAGAAUAAACUCAUAAAAUUAAGGCAAAAGGAACAAAGAGGAAAGAGAAUACUGUGCCAGGCCUAGACUGGACAUCAUCCAGCCACUUUCUGAGACUUGUGAAGAGAUCUCUUCUGAUGCUUUGACA
rnacentral:lncRNA from 1 species